UACGGAGGAGGCAAGCGUUAUCCGGAAUUAUUGGGCGUAAAGCGUCCGUAGGUGGCUGCUCAAGUCUGCGGUCAAAGACCGGGGCUUAACCCUGGAAAGGCCGUGGAAACUGAGCAGCUAGAGUGCAGUAGGGGUAGAGGGAAUUCCCGGUGUAGCAGUGAAAUGCGUAGAUAUCGGAAGGAACAUCAGUGGCGAAGGCGACUUCCUGGACAGAUACUGACACUGAGGCACGAAAGCGUGGGGAGCAAACAGG
rnacentral:rRNA from 1 species